rnacentral:rRNA from 1 species
CACCGCGGUUAGACGAGAGACCCAAGUGGAUGGCCCUCGGCGUAAAGAGUGGUUAAGAUAUUUUUAAACUAAGGCCAAACGACUUUUUAGCUGUUAUACGCGCGAGAAGACAUGAAGCUCAACUACGAAAGUGGCCUUAAACCCCUGACCCCACGAAAGCUAGGACA